ACAUUAUGGCUAAUAUCUACUUAAUGGAAUCUUUAAGCACUAACGGGAGAGAUUUGAUGGUGACAUUCAAUUUUGGAGCAAGUAUCUGAAGAUGUCUUCCUCUCUGCACAUUUUUCAGGGUCCCUGCUUGAGAACAGUGCUUCCCACAGUGAAUGUGUUUUCUCACUUGAAUUAACAGACUCAAGAGGAUUCUACACACACGUACCUAAAGGCAAACCUAAUCUAGACCUUUUUUCAUUAACACUCACAUCCCAGGUGAUUCUCAAUUGUAUCAUUCAACAACAACAACAACAACACCUGACCAUGAAACCAUGUAAUAUACACGCCAGACACUGAAAAGAAUUUGUGAGGUAUUCUUCCUGCUUUGAAUUGUUUGCUCAAUUUUGAUUGGCUGACAUAUAUAUGCAAAUA